rnacentral:tRNA from 1 species
GCCAGUGUGGCAUAGUGGUUUGCAUGUUGGAAUACAACUCUGGAGACCAGUGUUCGAUUCUCAGCUCAGCCA